rnacentral:rRNA from 1 species
GACGAACGCUGGCGGCGUGCUUAACACAUGCAAGUCAAACGGAGAGACCCUGCUGUUGUUGGGUGCGCGAGUGGCGAACGAGUGUGUAAAAGGUGAGUAACCUGCCCUGGACUUUGGUAUAACUUCAAGAAAGUGCGGCUAAUGCCGGAUAGGAGCACCUGCGAGAUAGUGGGCGUGGGGAAGUUUCGGUGGUUGGGGAUUGAUUCGCAGUAUAUCAUCUUGUUGGUGUGGUAGUGGCUUACCAAGGCUUUGACGGGCAGCCGGCCUGAGAGCGUUACCGGCCACAUUGGGACUGAGAUACGGCCCAGACUCCUACGGGAGGCAGCAGUGGGGAAUAUUGCACAAUGGGCGGAAGCCUGAUGCAGAAACGCCGCGUGCGGGAUGACGGCCUUCGGGUUGUAACCCGCUUGCGCCUGUGACGAAGCGUGAGUGACGGUAAUGGGUAAAGAAGCACCGGCUAACUACGUG